GACAGAGGGUGCAAACGUUGUUCGGAAUUACUGGGCGUAAAGCGCGUGUAGGCGGCCAUGCAAGUCGGAUGUGAAAGCCCUCGGCUCAACCGGGGAAGUGCACUCGAAACUGCAAGGCUAGAGUCUCGGAGAGGAUCGUGGAAUUCUCGGUGUAGAGGUGAAAUUCGUAGAUAUCGAGAGGAACACCGGUGGCGAAGGCGGCGAUCUGGACGAUGACUGACGCUGAGACGCGAAAGCUAGGGGAGCGAACGGG
rnacentral:rRNA from 1 species